rnacentral:rRNA from 1 species
GAGUUUGAUCUUGGCUCAGGGUGGUAGGAACAUUGAGGCUGGGGCCGCCUGAGGCUUUGGCAUGAGGCUGGGGGGCUGAGGAGAGAUGUGAAACAGUUACACCGGGGGUGAAGGUGUCAGAGAGGCCUCUCAGUUUCAGCUUGAGUCGGCAGGCAGGCCAUGGUGGUGGCUGGUGGGGAAGUCACCACUGCCCCAGGCCAGAGAGGAUUGCCUCUGAGCCAGGGAUGUCCAGGGCUGCCUCUGAGAGAGGUACAGGUGGGAGUGGACACGGGCAGGUCAACCACUGUCCCUGCCCCAUGACCCCGACACAGGUCAGAUGACCCAGAUGUGGGGGCCAGGGCAGGAGCAGUUGAGGGGCCAGGCUAUCAGCUGAGUCG